GCCAGUGUGGCAUAGUGGUUUGAGCAUUGGACUUUGACUCUGAUGACCAGGGUUCGAUUCUCAGCUCGGCCA